CCUACGGGUGGCAGCAGUGAGGAAUAUUGGUCAAUGGACGAGAGUCUGAACCAGCCAAGUAGCGUGAAGGAUGACUGCCCUAUGGGUUGUAAACUUCUUUUAUAUGGGGAUAAAACAGGGUAUGCAUACCCUCUUGUAUGUACCAUAUGAAUAAGGAUCGGCUAACUCCGUGCCAGCAGCCGCGGUAAUACGGAGGAUCCGAGCGUUAUCCGGAUUUAUUGGGUUUAAAGGGAGCGUAGGCGGCUUGUUAAGUGAGUUGUGAAAGUUUGCGGCUCAACCGUAAAAUUGCAGUUGAAACUGGGAGUCUUGAGUACAGGAGAGGUGGGCGGAAUUCGUGGUGUAGCGGUGAAAUGCUUAGAUAUCACGAAGAACUCCGAUUGCGAAGGCAGCUUACUGGACUGCAACUGACACUGAUGCUCGAAAGUGUGGGUAUCAAACAGGAUUAGAUACCCUGGUAGUC
rnacentral:rRNA from 1 species